UACAGAGGUCCCAAGCGUUGUUCGGAUUCACUGGGCGUAAAGGGUGCGCAGGUGGGUUGGCAAGUUCGAUGUGAAAGCCCCGGGCUUAACCCGGGAAUGGCAUUGGAAACUGGCGAGCUUGAAUAUGGAAGAGGGUCGCGGAAUUCCCGGUGUAGAGGUGAAAUUCGUAGAUAUCGGGAGGAACACCAGUGGCGAAGGCGGCGACCUGGGCCAAUAUUGACGCUGAGGAGCGAAAGCCAGGGGAGCAAACGGG
rnacentral:rRNA from 1 species